CCAAAUGGUAGUGGGUAGUCGCCGCGCGACUGCUUCUAAUAUGGUCGGGCUCGCCCAGAAAUGGGCGAGACAAGUUUAUGUCCGGAACGCCACAACGUUGGACGGUCAUCGAAGACGUGCGCACCUGCCGUCGAAUGACUCGACCACUUGUGGCUUCCACGAACGCAACCGUUCCGUAGGUGAACCUGCGGAAGGAUCAUUA
rnacentral:rRNA from 1 species